GGCAUUGUGGCAGAGUGGUCUAAUGCGAUAGACUAGAAAUCUAUUUCCUUCGGGUAAGUUCUUACUAACGAGGCCAAAUAUGAUAACAGCGCAUACUAAUAAAUUAUACAGGAGCGUCUGUUCGAAUCAGGCCAAUGUCG